rnacentral:rRNA from 1 species
CCUACGGGAGGCAGCGGUGAGGAAUAUUGAGCAAUGGGCGCAAGCCUGACUCAGCAACGCCGCGUGGACGAUGACGGCCUUCGGGUUGUAAAGUCCUUUUCUGAGGGACGAUGAUGACGGUACCUCAGGAACAAGUCCCGGCUAACUACGUGCCAGCAGCCGCGGUAAU